GACGAACGCUGGCGGCGUGCCUAAUACAUGCCAGUCGAGCGAAGUUUUUCUGGUGCUUGCCCCGGACAAACUUAGCGGCGAACGGGUGAGUAACACGUAAAGAACCUGCCUUAUAGACGGGGACAACCAUUGGAAACGAUAGCUAAUACCGGAUAACAACAUUAACUGCAAGGUUGAUGUUUGAAAGUUGUUUUUGCUAACACUAUGAGAUGGCUUUGCGGUGCAUUAGCUAGUUGGUGGGGUAAAGGCCUACCAAGGCGACGAUGCAUAGCCGACCUGAGAGGGUGAUCGGCCACACUGGAACUGAGACACGGCCCAGACUCCUACGGGAGGCAGCAGUAGGGAAUCUUCCGCAAUGGGCGAAAGCCUGACGGAGCAACGCCGCGUGAGUGAAGAAGGAUUUCGGUUCGUAAAGCUCUGUUGUUAGGGAAGAAUGACUGUGUAGUAACUAUACGCAGUAGAGACGGUACCUAAACAGAAAGCAACGGCUAACUACGUG
rnacentral:rRNA from 1 species